AACGAACGCUGGCGGCAGGCUUAACACAUGCAAGUCGAACGCCCCGCAAGGGGAGUGGCAGACGGGUGAGUAACACGUGGGAACGUACCCUUUACUACGGAAUAACGCAGGGAAACUUGUGCUAAUACCGUAUGUGCCCUUCGGGGGAAAGAUUUAUCGGUAAAGGAUCGGCCCGCGUUGGAUUAGCUAGUUGGUGGGGUAAAGGCCUACCAAGGCGACGAUCCAUAGCUGGUCUGAGAGGAUGAUCAGCCACAUUGGGACUGAGACACGGCCCAAACUCCUACGGGAGGCAGCAGUGGGGAAUAUUGGACAAUGGGCGCAAGCCUGAUCCAGCCAUGCCGCGUGAGUGAUGAAGGCCUUAGGGUUGUAAAAUACUUUCACCGGGGAAGAUAAUGACGGUACCCGGAGAAGAAGCCCCGGCUAACUUCGUGCCAGCAGCCGCGGUAAU
rnacentral:rRNA from 1 species